UACAGAGGGGGCAAGCGUUGUUCGGAAUUACUGGGCGUAAAGCGCGCGUAGGCGGCUUUUCAAGUCGAUUGUGAAAUCCCCGGGCUUAACCUGGGAACUGCAGUCGAGACUGUCUAGCUAGAGUAUGGGAGAGGGAAGUGGAAUUUCAGGUGUAGCGGUGAAAUGCGUAGAUAUCUGGAGGAACACCGGUGGCGAAGGCGGCAUCCUGGACCGGUAUUGACGCUGAGGCGCGAAAGCUAGGGGAGCAAACAGGG
rnacentral:rRNA from 1 species